rnacentral:snRNA from 1 species
AUACUUACCUGGCAGGGGAGAUGCCAUGAUCACCAAGGUGGUUUUCCAGGGUGAGGCUUACCCAUUGCACUCCACAUGUGCAGGCCCCGGCGAUUUCCCCAAAUGUGGGAAACUGGACUGCAUGAUUUGGCGGGGGAGGUGGGGACUGUGUUCACACUCUCCCCUA